GACAGAGGGUGCAAACGUUGCUCGGAAUUACUGGGCGUAAAGCGCGCGUAGGCGGGCAGGUAAGUCGGCCGUGAAAUCCCUGGGCUCAACCUAGGAACUGCGGUCGAAACUACCUGUCUUGAGUGACGGAGAGGAUAGUGGAAUUCCCGGUGUAGAGGUGAAAUUCGUAGAUAUCGGGAGGAACACCAGUGGCGAAGGCGGCUAUCUGGACGUCCACUGACGCUGAGGCGCGAAAGCGUGGGGAGCAAACAGG
rnacentral:rRNA from 1 species